GAUGAAGAACGCAGCGAAAUGCGAUACGUAAUGUGAAUUGCAGAUCUCUCAGUGAACCAUCGAAUCUUUGAACGCACAUUGCGCCCGCUAGUAUUCUAGCGGGCAUGCCUGUUCGAGCGUCAUUUCAACCAUCAAGCCCCAGGCUUGUGUUGGAGCCCUGCGGCCGUCCGCAGCCUCCUAAAAUCAGUGGCGGGCUCGCUAUCACACCGAGUGCAGUAGUUUACUCUUCGCUCAGGACGUGUAGCGGGUUCCGGCCGUGAAACCCCCCAAUUUUCAAGGUUGACCUCGGAUCAGGUAGGAAUACCCGCUGAACUUAAGCAUAUCAAUAAGCGGAGGA
rnacentral:misc_RNA from 1 species